AAAAGCCUGUAUUAAUAGUGAGCAAUGAUCCAUUGAUUCCCUGUCACACAGAUCACUUGCCAUGACCCUGGGGUUCUCCCACCUGGGUCAGAGCGUUUUUUACCAAUCAGAAAUCCUUUCAGCCUGAUCCUUCUGCCCUGAAGCUGCUGGGAGUGUCCCCAUGGAGUGGAAGGGAUGGGCAGAGGGCCCUUUGUUCCCAGCUGGCACCAGGACGUGCCACGGUGCUGCCAGUGCAGAGGGGACCAGGGUAAAUGAAGAAGUGCCUUUCCUCAUUGUGCCUUAGACAGUUUUUGCUAAUUAACAGCAGAAUCUUUUUAAUGCCUCUUUUUAUAAAAAGGACUUUUUUUUUAAGAUCAGCUGUGACCACCUCCAGUUCCUUGUGGCUGAGCCAACUCCUCACUGCUUUCUUCCUUCCUUCCUCCUGCUUGACCUCUGGGCUGAGCAUUCCUGUUGCUCCACGUUCAGGAGCCUGUGAGGAUGUGCCAUGUUAUCCUGGCACAGGGAACCAUCCCUGCAUUCACAGCCCAGCUGGGGAGCCUCUCCUGGGAGGCACCACAAACCCUGAGAUCCCUGAGAAAGCUCUGCACAGUGAGGAGAAGUCAGGGAUGCUGGCACUGUGCUUCCAGGUGUCCUCCCAGGUGGCAGCAUGGGCUCCCCCUUCCCUCUGCCCCAAAGGCAAAUCCGGGACAAAACAGAAAGUCACAGCUGCAGCCUCAUCCACACCGGUGUGGGUGCAGGUGACCCGAUUUAUUCCGUGUCUGCGGCUGGGGACAGCCCGAGGGUGGCAGGAAGCCCUUGUCCCCAGCCCUGUGUGCUGCUGCUGAGCCCAGAGCCCGGUGCUGCCCCAGCCUGGCUUGGAGAGUCCCCGUGGUCAUUGUCGCCUUCCCCACCCUCACCCGGCACGGACAUCGGCAAUGCCCCGCCCGAGGCUUUCCCGCUGGCUCGCAGGAGCCUCGGAGGUGACAGAGCAGCGACAAACAGCGACAGGACAGCGUGGGGCACUGCGGGAGCGCGGGGACGGGGCUGGUCCCGCCCCGCUGUGCGGUGCCAGCAGAGCAGGACGAGCAGCGCUCGCUCCUUGCAGCCUCCCUGCGGGGUUUGUGCACCUGGCCCCAGGUUCAGCAGCGGCCCCGGAGCCCUCGGGAUGUCCCCAAGGAAGGACAAUCAGCGUUCCUCUCUUCUUGUGCUCCUGUUUGAGUUCCAGCUGGAUCCACGCUCAGCAAAACCACCCUGCUCUUGCUCAGUACUAUGAGCUACAGCCUGCUCUGCUGUGGCCAGGGCACACUGCCCAAACCUUCAUCUGUAACUGGAAAAUAUCCUUGAAAAAGGGUUUUUAAAGUCUUUUUUUAAGCAUUUGGAGGAAGCCUGUGUUUUCCCCCAAGGCAAAUGCUGCAGCCUCCGUGGGAGCUGCCAGAGCACCAGCACCAGCCUCACCCAGCCAGGCCCCAAAAGUGACAUUCCCAAAAGUGACAUUCCCAUUUAGGAUUUCUAAGGAGUGAAACAGCACUGUUGCUGCUCAUCAUGAAACAAUCCUGUCCCCCCCAGUGAAUCCAGGUGGUCACAGCAGAACACAGAUGUUGUGUUAUCAUUUUAAACCAGAGUAGUGUCCUGAUUACCUCUGAUUGAAGCACGUGAACUGGGGGGUUUAUAGUCUAUUUAUUAAAGACAUGAGACUGGAAUUUGUACCUCAGCUGAUGCAUCUCAUGAUUUAAUAUAUUCUGAACUCGAUACUCUAUGAAACACUCACUUUUAGUACAAAUAAAUAUUUAUAUGUGUAAGCA
rnacentral:lncRNA from 1 species